rnacentral:rRNA from 1 species
CGCAUCUGUGCAUGCAGCAUAUCAAUAAGCGGAGGAAAAGGAGUAUACCUACGCUUAGGAUGUUGACGCGCGUGUGUGCGUGAGUCUAUACAUGACUCUGCGCAUAUCAAUAAGCGGAGGAAAAGAAACUAACAAGGAUUCCCUUAGUAACGGCGAGUGAAGCGGGAAGAGCUCAAAUUUGAAAUCUUCAAGGUUUUACCUUGACGAAUUGUAGUUUAAAGAAGUGUUUUCUGUUGAAGUUUUGGUAAAAGUUCUUUGGAAUAGGACAUCAUAGAGGGUGAGAAUCCCGUAUUUGACCAUUAUUUUCAGCUGUGUGAUACACUUUCAAAGAGUCGGAUUGUUUGGGAAUGCAGUCCAAAAUGGGUGGUAAAUUUCAUCUAAAGCUAAAUAUUGGCGAGAGACCGAUAGCGAACAAGUACCGUGAGGGAAAGAUGAAAAGAACUUUGAAAAGAGAGUUAAACAGUACGUGAAAUUGUCAAAAGGGAAGCGUUUGACACCAGUGUUGUUUUCUCGAAAAUCAAUUAAAAAGAGUUAGAUUUUGUUGUGUAUUGACCUUAACAGCUUGCAUUUCAAUUUUCUUGCUUUUUUUAAUGCACUUUUCGUUUAACAAGUCAACAUCAGUUUCUUUUGUUGUAAAAAGGUCAUUGGAAGGUGGCUUUCUUUUCGGAGAAAGUGUUUAUAGCCUUUGACUCCUGCAAUCGGAGAGACUGAGGUCUGCAGCGUAGAUCCUUCGGGGUUAGAUACAUUUGUGCUAAGUUAUAGCUUUUUAUAGACAACUUGUUGACUAUGAUUAGUCUUGUAGCUUACUCGCUUAUGCUAUUUUACCUACGCUUAGGAUGUUGACGCGCGUGUGUGCGUG